GAUGAGCAUGCGUCCCAUUAGCUAGUUGGUAAGGUAACGGCUUACCAAGGCUACGAUGGGUAGGGGUCCUGAGAGGGAGAUCCCCCACACUGGUACUGAGACACGGACCAGACUCCUACGGGAGGCAGCAGUGAGGAAUAUUGGACAAUGGGCGCAAGCCUGAUCCAGCCAUGCCGCGUGCAGGAUGACGGUCCUAUGGAUUGUAAACUGCUUUUAUACGAGAAGAAACACUGCUUCGUGAAGCAGCUUGACGGUAUCGUAAGAAUAAGGAUCGGCUAACUCCGUGCCAGCAGCCGCGGUAAUACGGAGGAUCCAAGCGUUAUCCGGAAUCAUUGGGUUUAAAGGGUCCGUAGGCGGUUUGGUAAGUCAGUGGUGAAAGCCCAUCGCUCAACGGUGGAACGGCCAUUGAUACUGCCAGACUUGAAUUAUUAGGAAGUAACUAGAAUAUGUAGUGUAGCGGUGAAAUGCUUAGAGAUUACAUGGAAUACCAAUUGCGAAGGCAGGUUACUACUAAUUGAUUGACGCUG
rnacentral:rRNA from 1 species